CCUACGGGAGGCAGCAGUGGGGAAUAUUGGACAAUGGGGGCAACCCUGAUCCAGCCAUGCCGCGUGUGUGAAGAAGGCCCUCGGGUUGUAAAGCACUUUCAGUGAGGAAGAACGCCUGGUGGUUAAUACCCAUCAGGAAAGACAUCACUCACAGAAGAAGCACCGGCUAACUCCGUGCCAGCAGCCGCGGUAAUACGGAGGGUGCGAGCGUUAAUCGGAAUUACUGGGCGUAAAGCGCGCGUAGGUGGCUUGAUAAGCCGGUUGUGAAAGCCCCGGGCUCAACCUGGGAACGGCAUCCGGACCUGUCAAGCUAGAGUGCAGGAGAGGAAGGUAGAAUUCCCGGUGUAGCGGUGAAAUGCGUAGAGCUCGGGAGGAAUACCAGUGGCGAAGGCGGCCUUCUGGACUGACACUGACACUGAGGUGCGAAAGCGUGGGUAGCAAACAGGAUUAGAUACCCUUGUAGUC
rnacentral:rRNA from 1 species